rfam:Fukomys damarensis contig160657, whole genome shotgun sequence.
AAUAUGGUCUUUUUAAAUACCAUCAACAGUUCCUGAAAAAGAAAUU